UUUGUUUUUAAAACAAUUUGGCAUUGUCUGUUAUGGGUUUCGAUUAUUGGGACUAAUUCUUCUCCAAGUUAUAUACUUGUCAGUUUUUUUAUUAUUCUCGGAGUUUGUAUUGUCUGAUAUGGGUUUUGGUUAUUUUAAUAAAUUGUAUAUCUUGUUCUUUGCAUAACCAGAAAGCUCGGAAAUCUCACUAUCUAGGGUUGUUUACUUUGUCCAAAAUGCAGCUGUUCAGAAUUGGUGAUUUGGUAGAAAAUAGUGAUUGUAAAAUUAUUGAAACAAGAAAUGGAGACUGGUGGCAAUUCUCUGCCGUCUGGUCCUGAUGGAGUGAAGAGAAAGGUUUGCUAUUUU
rnacentral:misc_RNA from 1 species